GACGAACGCUGGCGGCGUGCCUAACACAUGCAAGUCGAGCGAGAAGACGUAGCAAUACGUUUGUAAAGCGGCGAACGGGUGAGGAAUACAUGGGUAACCUACCCUCGAGUGGGGAAUAACUAGCCGAAAGGUUAGCUAAUACCGCGUACGCUCCUUGGACUUCGGUUCAGGGAGGAAAGCGAUACCGUGGGUAUCGCGCUCUUGGAUGGGCUCAUGUCCUAUCAGCUUGUUGGGAGGUAACGGCUCACCAAGGCUUCGACGGGUAGCUGGUCUGAGAGGACGAUCAGCCACACUGGCACUGCGACACGGGCCAGACUCCUACGGGAGGCAGCAGUAAGGAAUAUUGCGCAAUGGGCGAAAGCCUGACGCAGCGACGCCGCGUGGGGGAUGAAGGUCUUCGGAUUGUAAACCCCUUUCGGG
rnacentral:rRNA from 1 species